AAGGAAAUCUGGUGAACCUCCAGAAAUGGCGUGAGAAAUGCAAAGUCAUCAGGAGGAUCCAGCUGCUCCAGCAGGCUGCAAAUAAGUAUGACCUGGAGCCCGAAGAGCGAUUUGGGGCCUGGUUCCAGGCCAUGGAACCCCUCAGUGUCGAUGAGAGCUACUGCCUCUCCUGUGGGCUGGAGCCCACACACCAUAAGGCGAGCAAAAUGCGGCUCUUCAAGAGAAAGAACUGGCCAUCCUCCAGUUAAGGGCCUAUCUGUUUCUUCUCUUCAGCCACCGUGCCCUUGGCAAAGAGCCAUAACACUCCGGAGACCACAAGUUCAGCUCCUCCUGAGCAGCGGGGACACUGACGCCCUCGGGGUGCACCGGGCCAGCUCUUCCCACCUGAGUGAAGGAAGACAUCCUAAGACUUUCCCUGGUUUCCCCUAAAGCCCCAGAGGGAGGGCCCCACCCCUUCCAACUCCCUGACAUCU